rnacentral:rRNA from 2 species
UGUCUGGGAAACUGCCUGAUGGAGGGGGAUAACUACUGGAAACGGUAGCUAAUACCGCAUAACGUCGCAAGACCAAAGAGGGGGACCUUCGGGCCUCUUGCCAUCGGAUGUGCCCAGAUGGGAUUAGCUAGUAGGUGGGGUAACGGCUCACCUAGGCGACGAUCCCUAGCUGGUCUGAGAGGAUGACCAGCCACACUGGAACUGAGACACGGUCCAGACUCCUACGGGAGGCAGCAGUGGGGAAUAUUGCACAAUGGGCGCAAGCCUGAUGCAGCCAUGCCGCGUGUAUGAAGAAGGCCUUCGGGUUGUAAAGUACUUUCAGCGGGGAGGAAGGGAGUAAAGUUAAUACCUUUGCUCAUUGACGUUACCCGCAGAAGAAGCACCGGCUAACUCCGUG